CACAGAUGCUGCCAGAUCUGCUGAGCUUUUCCAGCAACUUCUGUCUUUGUUCAUGGAAAAGGACUGUUUGGACUUAUGCCUUACAGAUGAUGGACAGGCUUUGGAGAGUCAGGAGAUAAAUAGAACAACAACUUCCAGCUAUUCACCAACACAGAGAUAACCAAGGGAGAAGUGAAAUACCUUAUUUAUUCAUCUGAUGAUGAGUUGAUCUAAUCCCAAAAGGCAUCUGAUAGACAACUUUGACACCUGAUCUCUGGGGACCUGGUGGAGUCACUCACAGUCCUUAAGAGACUUCCCUUACUUUAUCAUUCUACAAAGAAUUGUUGCAGGUGAAUGUAUCGCAGUUUUUCAGGAACUGAACUCUACCCCUUAUCCAUCGUAUUUGCACUGCGGGUUCCAUCCUGAAUUGUAAUGGAAUAAAGUGACUUAAUGCUGUCUUACAAGUGGGCAGCAAGCAGCCUGCAAUUCAUUUUUAAUUUUGAGCCUGUUCUUGCAUAUUAAUUGCCAUUGUUUUAAGCUCAUUAUCCCAUCUUGCACAUUGCCGUGAGUGGGAUGCCAAUGCAUGUAAACUGUGGCAUUACUUCUGCAUUUAGUGACCUAAGUGGUUGUUAAUGUAGUCUGUGUCAUUGUGUGACAACAACCCCUCUGUGCUGUAGCUCAUUCUUUUUUUAAGAAGAUUUACUUCUACACCAUACUAACUAAAAGAUAUAUAAACUGCAAUUCUUAAGUUGAAA